CCCUUAGAUGUUCUGGGCCGCACGCGCGCUACACUGAUGCGUUCAACGAGUAUACAACCUUGAUCGAUAGGUCUGGGUAAUCUUUUGAAUGCGCAUCGUGCUAGGGAUAGACUGUUGCAAUUUUCAGUCUUGAACGAGGAAUUCCUAGUAAACGCAAGUCAUCAGCUUGCAUUGAUUACGUCCCUGCCCUUUGUACACACCGCCCGUCGCACCUACCGAUUGAAUGGUCCGGUGAAGCCUCCGGAUUGGCGCGCACCUCGGUGCCGCCGAGAAGUUGGCUAAACCUUACCAUUUAGAGGAAGGUGAAGUCGUAACA
rnacentral:rRNA from 1 species